GGACUACCCGGGUAUCUAAUCCUGUUUGCUCCCCACGCUUUCGUGCCUGAGCGUCAGUCUUGACCCAGGGGGCUGCCUUCGCCAUCGGUGUUCCUCCGCAUCUCUACGCAUUUCACUGCUACACGCGGAAUUCCACCCCCCUCUGCCAGACUCAAGCUCGCCAGUUUCCAUGGCAAUUCCCAGGUUAAGCCCGGGGCUUUCACCACAGACACAACGAACCGCCUGCGCACGCUUUACGCCCAGUAAUUCCGAUUAACGCUCGCACCCUACGUAUUACCGCGGCUGCUGGCAC
rnacentral:rRNA from 2 species